rnacentral:rRNA from 1 species
CCUACGGGAGGCAGCAGUGAGGAAUAUUGGUCAAUGGACGAGAGUCUGAACCAGCCAAGUAGCGUGAAGGAUGACUGCCCUAUGGGUUGUAAACUUCUUUUAUAUGGGAAUAAAAUGUUCCACGUGUGGGAUUUUGUAUGUACCAUAUGAAUAAGGAUCGGCUAACUCCGUGCCAGCAGCCGCGGUAAUACGGAGGUUCCGAGCGUUAUCCGGAUUUAUUGGGUUUAAAGGGAGCGUAGGUGGAUUGUUAAGGCAGUUGUGAAAGUUUGCGGCUCAACCGUAAAAUUGCAGUUGAAACUGGCAGUCUUGAGUACAGUAGAGGUGGGCGGAAUUCGUGGUGUAGCGGUGAAAUGCUUAGAUAUCACGAAGAACUCCGAUUGCGAAGGCAGUUCACUGGACUGCAACUGACACUGAGGCUCGAAAGUGUGGGUAUCAAACAGGAUUAGAUACCCCUGUAGUC